GGUGGCUGUAGCUCAGGUGGUAGAGCGCGCACUGCUCGUGCGAGGCCGCGGGUUCGAUCCCCGCCGGUCACCA
rnacentral:tRNA from 1 species